GAUGAACGCUGGCGGCGUGCCUAAUACAUGCAAGUAGAACGCUGAAGGAGGAGCUUGCUCUUCUGGAUGAGUUGCGAACGGGUGAGUAACGCGUAGGUAACCUGCCUGGUAGCGGGGGAUAACUAUUGGAAACGAUAGCUAAUACCGCAUGACAACAGUUAUUGCAUGAUAACUGUUUAAAAGGGGCAACUGCUCCACUACCAGAUGGACCUGCGUUGUAUUAGCUAGUUGGUGAGGUAACGGCUCACCAAGGCGACGAUACAUAGCCGACCUGAGAGGGGGAUCGGCCACACUGGGACGGAGACACGGCACAGAGUGCUACGGGAGGCAGCAGUAGGGAAACUUCGGCAAUGGACGGAAGUCUGACCGAGAAACGCCGCGUGAGUGAAGAAGGGUGUCGGAUCGUAAAGCUCUGUUGUAAGAGAAGAACGAGUGUGAGAGUGGAAAGUUCACACUGUGACGGUAUCUUACCAGAAAGGGACGGCUAACUACGUG
rnacentral:rRNA from 1 species